CAGGCACAGAGUGAGGUAUCUUGUGAAGAGAUGAAUUGGGACAGGAACAGAGACAGUGUAGCGUCCUAUGUUAGAGUCUUGGAUCCGUGCUGCCUGAGUUUGUCAUUUAUGAGCCAUUACCUUGGAAAUGGAGUUGCUGCUGAGGCUUAAGUACACGAUGUGGCUUCUUAUGGUGGCAGCUUUGGCGCUGUGAUGAACAAUUACAGACAUCAAUACACCUGGAGAAGGUGUCCGAGGAGAAAAGAAUUUGUAAAAUCACCUGAAUUAGAAGAAAGUCAUCUUUUUAGUUAUACAGACGACCAUACUACAGUGUAACUUGUAUUCUUGCAUUUAUACAUAUAUUGAUAGAAAGCUUUCCAGAUUUGAUGGACCAAAAGAAUCGUUAGAUCUUUGGAAUCAUAGAGGAAUAAAAUCUGUUUUAUUAAACAAGAAUGUGCUACCCACAGCCAAAGGGGCAUACCACCAUGAUGUAAAGCUUUAGCAGAAAAGUAGUUUAUGAUUAAAUGAUUUUUUUCAUUCUUGUCCCUGAUAGUGACCUGAAGGAUUAAGUAAGCAAUAAGCAUUUUCUUAUAUAGAUUUAAAGUGGCGUCCAGAGAGGUUCUCACAAGGCUACAUGGGUUUUAUUUCAAAUACUUUACAGAUAGCAUUCGUGAAAAUCUUAAACACAAUGUGUGUUCAUGUGUGGAAAUCAAAGACCAGCAUAAUUUUUAGAAAAGUUGCCUGUUUCAUUUCCCAGCUGAGGGGAAUUUAUACUAGCUGUUGUCACAACUGUUAGAGUACCCUCCUCAUCUUUAGGUCAAAGAUGCAUUUUUAAAAAGAGCCAAAAGGCUCAUUUACAGGGCACAAUAGAAAGUAACAGCUGGGAUGACAUUGUUAAUGUCUCCUGGGUAAUCCUGUGAGUUCUCAAGAUGGGCACACAAACUGAAAUACAUAUUUAUUUGAGAAAUCACAGUGGAUCCCAAAAUCUCUUAGGGGCUGUCAGGUAAAUAGCAGCAUUUCAUAGAAGUUAGGAUGUAGUACAGUAUGUGAUAGGUACCAAAAUUGUUGGUUUCUUUUUUCGUGUCUGAUUUGCUUCCUUAUGGCACUCGUGGUGUUAGUUAGGCUGUGCUUCCUCUGCCUGUGCAUUAACAAUUUCUCGCAUCUUUUCACGUUAUUGUGAGAUGAGGCACUUUGUUUGCAUUUUAACCCAAUGAGGAGAAGGAAGGAAGAACACAGUUGAUUAGGUGGGCAUAGAAUGAUUAAGUCAACAAGCAGAAUGGAGCAACCCUAAGGCUGCCAAUGGACUAUGACAGAAAAAACUUUUACCGAUGCAAGGGAGAAAAAUGGAUUCUUGACUAUGAACUAUUGAAUAUUCCUAUGAAUACAAAAGGCAUUCACUGAACUCAUAUCAGAAAGGGUCUUUGAAAGAGUAUUCAUUUGAUGUUUUCAGUAAUUUUAGUGAAGAAUUGAGGCUCUUCUUACUGUUUAUACUGAUUAUAAAGCUCUCUGCUCCAUCCCACUCAAAGAGCUAUUGGCCUAAAUAAGAUGAAGAUGUUUUUCUUGUGACUGAUGUGUUCAUGUGUCCCUUCUCUUUACCCACUUUUUCUGUACCCUGGUUGUGACUUUACCUUUAUGAUGAAGAUAUUCAUUUGACAAUUUGGCUUUGAUUUACCAAGAAAAUCUGGCCCAUUUCUUUAUUUCCCUAUUAGGUCUCCAGCAAGAUAUCGAAUCACUACUUUGAACUAAAUGCAUUUAAAACUAGAUUUAUUCUCUCUCAUACAAAGAUCCUGAUUUGUUAUCAUCCCUAUUUAUAUUAACGAUAUAAUGAUGAUUGUAUCAUUCUCCUCGGCUCAUAAUUCUUAAAGUUAUCUUUGAAGUCCUUUUCCUUCGCACUCCAUAUUCAACCUAUCACUAAUAGUUUCCCACAAGUAUUUGAGUAUUUAGUGCAACAAGUAUUUGAUGUCACAUCCGCAAUAGAUUAGACCUUUGUUACCUCCAAUUUGUACUCUUGCUCUUGGCAUUUGCUUCUAAAAUUUCAUUUCUGAUUCAAACAAAAUAUAAGAGAGUUCCUAAAUUAUGUCACUUCUCUGCCAAUAAAUUAAUAAUAGAUGAAAACAAAAUACAAAAGAUUCGGAUCCUAAAAUUUGACAAUUUAAAUUUGGUUGAUUUAUAGAGCCUGACAUAUUUACUAUGACUUUGGUCUUGGCUCUUUUAAAAGUACUGCAUCCUGAUAACUCCACAAAGUGAAUUAUGAUGCAUUGUGUAUCUGCCACUUAUAAAAUAGUGUGCACAUGUUAAUUUAGUGUUUCAUGAUUAAAUAUAUAUUUGGGUAAGAAAA
rnacentral:lncRNA from 1 species